UACGAAGGGGGCUAGCGUUGCUCGGAAUCACUGGGCGUAAAGGGCGCGUAGGCGGCCAUUUAAGUCGGGGGUGAAAGCCUGUGGCUCAACCACAGAAUUGCCUUCGAUACUGGAUGGCUUGAGACCGGAAGAGGUAAGUGAACUGCGAGUGUAGAGGUGAAAUUCGUAGAUAUUCGCAAGAACACCAGUGGCGAAGGCGGCUUACUGGUCCGGAUCUGACGCUGAGGCGCGAAAGCGUGGGGAGCAAACAGG
rnacentral:rRNA from 1 species